GCCUUGAGUCUACACUGCCAUAUAAUCCAGUGCAAAUUAGAUAGCCUAAGUCUGCCUGUCCCCUAACUGAACCCUGGCUGUCCCUUGGCUUGCUAGGAGUUGGUUGCUAGGCGACCAGGUGGGCAGAGAUUAGCCCUCUAAACUGGCAGCAAUUGGAUAAAAAAAAUAUUGCUCUCCCUCUAAUUAGGACUUUGUUUUUCUUUUCUUUUUGUUGUAUCAACCUGGAGGCAUGGAUGAUGGGCUGUGUUGUCAAAUUUCGAGGUUGCGGGGCCUGUACUUUUGUUGUUUUGUGAGUCGCCGUGAUGCCAUCACUCUUUUAUAUAUAUAGACUAGCUGUGCCCAGCCACGCGUUGCUGUGGCGAAGUAUGGUGGUAUGGGAAAUAAAGUAUUGAGGAAUUGGUGGUAGUUAAGGUAAAGGGUCCCCUGGGCUGAGUGGGUUGCUAGGAGACCAAGUGAGUGGAGCUUAGCCUUCUAAUUGGCAGCAAUUGGAUAAAAACAAUUAUUACUUUCCCUCUAAUUAGGACUUUAUUUUUCUUUUCUUUUUGUUGUAUCAACCUAGAGGCAUGGAUGAGGGGUUGUGAUGUCAAUUUUCGAGGUUGUGGGGUGUUUACUUUUGUUGUUUUGUCCGCUGCCGUGAUGCCAUCACUCUUUUAUAUAUAUAGACUAGCUGUGCCCAGCCACGCGUUGCUGUGGCGAAGUAUGGUGGUAUGGGAAAUAAAGUAUUGAGGAAUUGGUGGUAGUUAAGGUAAAGGGUCCCCUGGGCUGAGUGGGUUGCUAGGAGACCAAGUGAGUGGAGCUUAGCCUUCUAACUGGCAGCAAUUGGAUAAAAACAAUUAUUACUUUCUCUCUAAUUAGGACUUUAUUUUUCUUUUCUUUUUGUUGUAUCAACCUAGAGGCAUGGAUGAGGGGUUGUGCUGUCAAUUUUCGAGGUUGUGGGGUGUUUACUUUUGUUGUUUUGUCCGCUGCCGUGAUGCCAUCACUCUUUUAUAUAUAUAGAUUAUUAUUAUUAUUAUUAUUUCAGGUCGCAAGCACAGAGGCAACAGCGAGAUGUGGAAGAUCUUCGAUGACGUUGCGGCUGCCAAUGGUUUCCCAGUGGAGAAAAUUUAUUACCCUGUUCUGGAAAAGACUUGCUACGAUUGAUAAAGGAAACGCGUCAAAAUCAAUUAGGAGAAUCUGGAGGCGAAAUUCAGCAAGAAUCGCAUUGGUCUUUUGGGUUGCUGCAUCUGACUGUGGGCUCGUUCUUACUUCAUGUUCUAUUGAGCCUCCCCUUGAAAUCCGUUCUGUAUCAUCUGUGGCCGGAGAACAAAAAGCUAUUAAAGUGUGUCCUUGGCAAACUAGCGAUCCCU
rnacentral:lncRNA from 11 species